rnacentral:hammerhead_ribozyme from 1 species
AUCCAGAUGACGAGUCUCAAACAGGACGAAAUUCACUUUAUCCUGGAU